GCCAGGCACAGUGGCAUGUGCCUGUAGUCCCAGCUACUCAGGAGGCUGAGGUGGGAGGAUCACUUGAGCCCAGGAGUUCUGGGCUGUAGUGCGCUAUGCCGAUCGAGUGUCCACGCUAAGUUCAGCAUCAAUAUGGUGACCUCCCAGGAGCAGGGGACCACCAGGUUGCCUAAGGAGGGGUGAACUGGUCCAGGUCGGAAACAGAGCAGGUCAAAACUCCCGUGCUGAUCAGUAUUGGGAUCGCGCCUGUGAAUAGCCACUGCACUCCAGCCUGGGCAACAUAGCGAGACCCCAUCUUU
rnacentral:SRP_RNA from 1 species